rnacentral:snoRNA from 1 species
CCAACGUAGACAUCCAGCGGAAUUAGCCUCCACUGGCUCUGUCUGUAUGGCACAUGGGAGCCGAACAUCUUUGAUUUGAGGUAUAUUCCCAGCCAUGACGUUGAACAUUAAAACUGCCCCAGAUAUUCUAAAUAUCUGCUUGGUGCAGUACUUUGCAUAUUCCUUGUGUGUCCUAGAGUCACUAUGUGACAAUGACUAGGAGGAUAAACCAUGCAAUGAACAGUU